CAUAGCAACAACAUUCUGAAGAUCCAAGCUGAGUUUUGAACAGGUUUUUCUUGAAUAUUACUCCUCAUUAAUUGAAACCCCAGGAGUUCAACAUGCAGCAAUUGACUGAAAAAUUCUAUAUCCUGGGAACCCACUAGAUUUACGUCUGUUGACAAUUCCUUUUACAGAAGAUAAGAUCAAGACAACUAUCUUUAGCUUGACAAAAAAAUAAAUCACCA
rnacentral:lncRNA from 1 species